AUAGAAUGAGUUGCUCAGAGGAGGGGACAGCAGAUGGAGCUGCUGGCAGUCAUUUCAGCAGAUCAAUGGGGUUGUUGAAAGCUGAGUUAUGAAAAGAGCAUUGAACCACAAGUGUAAGAAGAAAACAUGGGAAAUCUUAAGCAAAAAAUGCUCCUCCAUUUCCUCUGCUUUUGUUGUGCCUGCUGAGUUCAGAGCUGAUAUUUAUCCCGUUGCACCUCACUAAUCUCUUUCCUGCACUGCUGACAUCGGAGAAGGGGAGUGAAAGGUCCUGAGCUGAGUGCUAUCGUGAAGGCUUUUCUGCUGUCUUCCAGUCCUCACCACGCCAAAGGGAAGCCUGCCUUGAGGCAGGACGGCCCCCCCCACAGCCCCACCCACGUCUGCUGCCACUCCACUCCCUUCCCUUCCUUCUCGCUGACCCGCCUUUCCCACUUGAAGGGCGACCAGAAGCCACCUGGGCAGGAUGGGGCCUCUCCACAUCCUCUUCCACAAAACUGUCUCAGGAAACCAGAGACAGUCCUCCCAAAACGAAAUUCCGUGGUAGAUUCUGUGUCUACCUUUGCUUUUUACUAAAUAUUGUAAUUCCUAAGGCUAUUAAUAAGAAUAGAAAAUUUUAUUCUACAAUACCAAGACUUCUCUAUUAGAGCCAGAGAAUCUUGGAUGACUUCUGGGAGUCUGAGCAGCUGAGGCUCAACCUUCUGCCAUCCACUGAUACCCAGGAAGCUGCCUGGAUUCUCCCAGGACGGAGCUGAGAACAACCGCAGCACUUCCUCCAAGAUGCUGCCGAUCCUGCUCUCAGUGGCCUUGCUGGCCCUGAGCUCAGCGCAGGGCCCUUUUUUUGGCAGCAAUGAAGGACCUCCCUACCCCCUAUCAGGUAAGUCUCAUUUAACUCUCCAUCAACUUUCUUUCUUUUUAAUCCUUAGCAACUUCUCUGUUCUCCAGUGUCUUAUUAUCAUCACAGUCUUGUCAAGAAAUGAUUAAUGUUAGUGCCCCCAAGAUAUAGGCAAUCCUUUACCAACCUUGAUUCUGGGAACCAUGAGCAGGGCCCUAACGUGAAUAACAGAGAUGUGUAGCUUGGAUGACACAGAGAAUGCUGCCUGUUCCCUCAGGCCAGAAAUGACAGCUGGAAGAGGGUGGCAGAGGGAAGUUGUCCUAAUUCUGACUCCUCCAGCCUACUGAGCAUCAUCCCCUCAACUGUUUCAUUCUUCCUCAGUAUUCCUUUCUUUAAUACAUAGUUUGGAAAAAUGGAAAUAAACUUAAUUCCGAUUACA
rnacentral:lncRNA from 1 species